rnacentral:rRNA from 1 species
CGUUCCCGGGCCUUGUACACACCGCCCGUCACACCACGAAAGUCGGCAACACCCGAAGUCGGUCGCCUAACCCGCAGGGGAGGGAGCCGCCGAAGGUGGGGUUGAUGAUUGGGGUG